rnacentral:rRNA from 1 species
CGUGUAGGCGGAGCUGCAAGUCAGAUGUGAAAUCCCGGGGCUCAACCCCGGAACUGCAUUUGAAACUGUAGCCCUUGAGUAUCGGAGAGGCAAGCGGAAUUCCUAGUGUAGCGGUGAAAUGCGUAGAGAUCUGGAGGAAUACCGAUUGCGAAGGCAGCCCCCUGGACAGUGACUGACGCUCAUAUGCGAAAGCGUGGGGAUCAAACAGGAUUAGAUACCCCCGUA